UCCACGGAAUCGGGGUGGUCAGCAACGCCAGAAGCCGCAGGGAGGAGCAGCCGGCGAUCUCCGUUCGCCUUCUCCUUUCCUUCCACUGAACUAGAAAUGGAUGUUGCGUACAUCUGUGGAGGAGCGGGUUGGGCGCAAUGCGGAUCGGCCAUUGUCUUCUCUCCAGAUCUCAUAUUGGCUCCAUUACAACCGCGACAGAAGGUAAUCGUCAUAUUUCUCUCCGUAAUUUAGGGUUCCUGUUGAUGUUAUGCAGCUCUUCUUGGGUUUUCGCAAACCCUAGCCGAUUCAUUUCACUUCAGAACAUGAUAAUUGGUAGUUGGUAUAUUUAUCAGAACUGCAAAAUUCUUUGCAUCUUGGAUGAA